rnacentral:tRNA from 1 species
CGUAGCUCAGCCGGUCAGAGCGCCACACUGAUAAUGUGGAGGCCCCCGGUUCAAAUCCGGG